rnacentral:misc_RNA from 1 species
AACGCACGAGACCUGCGGACCUGCGGAAGGAUCAUUACAGGACUCGCAAGACUCCUACAACCCUGUGAACUUAACUAUAAGCACGUUGCUUCGGCGGGUGUCUCGGCGAGGGUCCUCCCUCCCCGGGGCGCUAAGCCCGCCGGCAGCCUACUAUACUCUGUCUCUUUGCGUUGGCAUCUCGAGUACAAACAAACAAGUUAAAACUUUCAGCAAUGGAUCUCUAGAUCGGAAGAGCACACG